rnacentral:lncRNA from 1 species
UUAGAUUAAAGAAGAGCUUGUAUGGUCUAAAACAAGCUUCAAGGUAGUGGUAUAGAAAGUUUUAAAGCUUCAUGCACAAGUAAGGUUUCUAGAAAUGCAAUGCCGACCACUGUUGUUUAUUUAAGAGAUAUCAUUCAAGUUAUAUCAUUUUAUUACUUUAUGUCAAUGAUAUGUUAGUAACAUGUCCAUAUAUUGAUGAAAUCAGAAACUUGAAGAUGCAAUUGUCAAAAGAAUUUCACAUGAAUGACUUUGGUCCAACAAAGAAGAUUCUUAGAAUGCAAAUCACGAGAUAUAAGCAAAGAGGAAUUUUGCAGUUAUCUAAGGCGGAGUAUAUCAAUCAUGUUUUGCAAAGAUUCAACAUGGACAAUGCCAAACUAGUUAGUACACCUUUAGCUAGUCAUUUUUGCUUAUCAAAGGACCAGACCCCAGAGACAGAGGAAGAAAAAGAAUUGAUGGCUAAGAUUAUGAAUGCUUCAUCCAUUGGAAGUUUGAUGUACGCGACGGUAUGCACGAGGCCAAACAUUGUCCAUGUAGUGGGAGUUGUAAGCAGGUUUAUGUCAAAUCCAAGUAAAACUCAAUGGGAAGUUGUGAAACGGAUUUUGAGGUAUCUACGAGGCACUAAGGAGAAGCGUUUAUGCUUUAGUAAAGGUGAAUUAAAAGUACUGGGCUAUGUAGAUGCGGACUUUGCAGGUGAACUUGAUCACCGAAGAAGUACCACCAGUUACAUAUUUAUUGUUGGUACUACAACUGUUAGCUGAAUGUCGAGGAUACAAAAGAUCGUUGCUCUAUCCACUACAGAGGUUGAGUAUGUAGAAAUAACAGAAGCUAUCAAAGAGUUGAUAUGUCUUUAAGAAUUGUUAACAGAGUUGGGAUUCAUCCAAGAGAGGAGUGUUUUGCACAGCGACAGUCAGAGUGCAAUACAUUUGGCUAAGAAUUCAGCAUUCCACUCAAUAACGAAGCACAUUGAUCUCCAUUAUCACUUCAUCAGAACUCUACUUGAGGAUGAGAUACUAACGUUGAGGAAGAUUAUUAGAAGUAUGAACCCUGCAGAUAUGUUGACAAAGGUGGUGGCUAUUGAUAAACUGAAGUUAUGCUCAACUUCAGUUGGCCUGCUAGAAUAACAUACCAGAGAAGGUUGUUGCAUGAUCGAGGUGUGAAGACCGACUGAAGUCAAUCUUCAAGUGGGAGAUUGUUGAAAACUUAAUUAUUUUCUUAUUAUUUAGAAGUAAAUGGAAGAUGUUUCUACUUUAUAGGAACCGUAAUGAAUGGGUUACAGAUGAUGCAUCCAAUGCUUUGGCUAUAUAAGAUGUCAAAGCUAAAACAACAUUAAUUCUAACAUUGAGAGCAUUUUCAAUAACUAGAGAAAUACACUAGUGAGAAAAACUGAGUGAGAGGAAUUCUUAAAUAUAAUGUGUAUUUUAUCUUUCCAGUAAAUAAAAAGUGUACAUCAACCCGUAUCAAUUUUUGUGUGUUAUUAUUCCGCAUUUACAUCGCUAUUCCACAAAUCUGACUAUGCAGAAAUGUUAUGUAGUUUCCUAACACCCGCCAAGACAAGUCCAAG